UAUCACAGCAGUAGUUACCUGGU
rnacentral:miRNA from 1 species